rnacentral:rRNA from 1 species
AUAAUACUCCAUAGAUUAGAGACACUGGAAUGUUCUUUAGUCGAAAGUUCUGGCGCCUUAGGAUGGAUCUGCGGUCGAUUAGGUUGUUGUUGGGGUAACGGCCCAACAAGCCUGUAAUCGAUACGGGUUGUGGGAGCAAGAGCCCGGAGAUUGGAAUCUGAGACACGAUUCCAGGCCCUACGGGGCGCAGCAGGCGCGAAAACUUUACAAUGCAGGAAACUGUGAUAAGGGAACUCCGAGUGCCCGUAUACGCGGGCUGUCCAGGUGUUUAAAAAUCAUCUGAAGAAAGGGCCGGGCAAGACCGGUGCCAGCCGCCGCGGUAAUACCGGCGGCUCGAGUGGUGGCCACUAUUAUUGGGCUUAAAGCGUCCGUAGCUGGACCGAUAAGUCUCUUGGGAAAUCCGCCGGCUCAACCGGCGGGCGUCUAAGGGAUACUGUUAGUCUAGGGACCGGGAGAGGUGAGAGGUACUCCGGGGGUAGGAGUGAAAUCCUGUAAUCCCCGGGGGACCACCGAUGGCGAAGGCAUCUCACCAGAACGGCUCCGACAGUGAGGGACGAAAGCUGGGGGAGCGAACCGGAUUAGAUACCCGGGUAGUCCCAGCCGUAAACUAUGCGCGUUAGGUGU